rnacentral:lncRNA from 1 species
CAUGAUUCAGCAAAUUUGGUUGUGCACCAUCAGGAAGCAGAUUGCAUCAGCAAGCAGAUUUGCCUCAGUAAGAAGAUGUCCCUCAUGACUAAGCAAAUUAUCUGCUACUGUGCUAACUUCUGAAAUUGGAUUAUCAACAUUGGCACAAAUCAUGGUGUCAAUAGUAUUUUCAGACCCUAUACCAGGACUUGCAAUUAAAGGCUCCUUGGGUAUCAUAUCUUGCCUG